AUUGAACGCUGGCGGCAGGCUUAACACAUGCAAGUCGAGCGGGGGAGGUUGCUUCGGUAACUGACCCAGCGGCGGACGGGUGAGUAAUGCUUAGGAAUCUGCCUAUUAGUGGGGGACAACAUUCCGAAAGGGAUGCUAAUACCGCAUACGCCCUACGGGGGAAAGCAGGGGAUCUUCGGACCUUGCGCUAAUAGAUGAGCCUAAGUCGGAUUAGCUAGUUGGUGGGGUAAAGGCCUACCAAGGCGACGAUCUGUAGCGGGUCUGAGAGGAUGAUCCGCCACACUGGGACUGAGACACGGCCCAGACUCCUACGGGAGGCAGUAGUGGGGAAUAUUGGACAAUGGGCGAAAGCCUGAUCCAGCCAUGCCGCGUGUGUGAAGAAGGCCUUUUGGUUGUAAAGCACUUUAAGCGAGGAGGAGGCUCUUAAGGUUAAUACCCUUAAUGAGUGGACGUUACUCGCAGAAUAAGCACCGGCUAACUCUGUGCCAGCAGCCGCAGUAACAC
rnacentral:rRNA from 1 species